GCUAGGCGUGGUGGCGCAUGCCUGUAGUCCCAGCUACUUGGGAGGCUGAGACAGGAGAAUCGCUUGAACCAAGGAGGUGGAGGUUGCAGUGAGCUGAGAUCGUGCCACUGCACUCCAGUUAGCCAGGCAUGGUGGUGUGUGCCUGCAGUCCUAGCUACUUGGGAGGCUGAAAUGGAAAGAUCACUUGAGCUUGGGAGGUUGAGGCUGCAGUGAGCCAUGAUUGCACCACUGCACUCCAGCCUGGGUGACAGAGCCAGGUCCUGUCUCAU
ensembl:misc_RNA Metazoa_SRP Metazoan signal recognition particle RNA